rnacentral:misc_RNA from 1 species
AACGCACGAGACCUGCGGACCUGCGGAGGGAUCAUUAAUGAGAAACUGCCCCUCGCGGGUAGAUCUCCCACCCUUUGUGAACUUACCUUUGUUGCUUUGGCAGGCCCGUCUCCGGACCGCCGGCUUCGGCUGGCCAGUGCCUGCCAGAGGAUUCUAAAACUCUGUCUGUCAGUGUUGUCUGAGUCUAUAUACAAUCGUUAAAACUUUCAGCAACGGAUCUCUAGAUCGGAAGAGCACACG